AUUGCUUCUUGGCCUUUUGGCUAAGAUCAAGUGUAGUAUCUGUUCUUAUCAAUUUAAAAAACAAAUCUUAUAAUCUCUACCUUUU
ensembl:snRNA U2 U2 spliceosomal RNA